rnacentral:rRNA from 1 species
GACGAACGCUGGCGGCGUGCUUAACACAUGCAAGUCGAACGAAGUGGCGAACGUGUGAGUAACGCGUAAUCAACCUGCCCUUCAGAGGGGGACAACAGUUGGAAACGACUGCUAAUUCCUCAUAAUGAUGGAGGGGAUUUCGUCUGAUUAGCUAGUUGGAGGGGUAACGGCCCACCAAUGCGAUGAUCAGUAGCCGUUCUGAGAGGAUGAACGGCCACAUUGGGACUGAGACACGGCCCAGACUCCUACGGGAGGCAGCAGUGGGGAAUAUUCCGCAAUGGACGAAAGUCUGACGGAGCAACGCCGCGUGAGUGAUGACGGCCUUCGGGUUGUAAAGCUCUGUUAAUCGGGACGCGGAACCGGAAUAGAAAGCCACGGCUAACUACGUGCCAGCAGCCGCGGGAAUU